rnacentral:lncRNA from 1 species
ACCUGUAAGUGUUCGACUUACGUAUUUUGGACUCCUCUUUGAUUUGAUUUUUUUUUUUUUUUGAAAUUACACUUUUGUUCCUGUAGUGCGGCGUCGGAUGUCGACCCCGGCCAGGCUGCCAGCCAGGGGACGGGCGAGCCAGUCCACGCUGCUGAGGAUACGGCCCCCCAGACCACAGAGCAGCCAACAGCUGCAGUCGCGCCUGGGAGCUCCGAGGGGCUCCCGACCGCGGCACCGACUACGACAGGCAGCCCGACCAGGGCUGGAGAGGCUCCCCCAACCGGCUCCUCAGAGGAGGGAAGAUCUCCGACCGCUCCUCCUGCCGGGGGGAGUGAAGUCCCCACGCCGCCUCGAGCAGGAGCAUCUUCGGCUG